rnacentral:lncRNA from 1 species
GAGGGUGCGAGAGUAAAAAUGUCAUUUUCAAAAAAAAAAGAAUUUUGAUGGCAUUUUCGUGAAUUAUAUGAACUUGUAGGGUGAAUAGGGCAAAACCAAUUUCCAAAAAAAAAAAGGGUUAGUUUUGUGUUUGACUUUGAGUUUUAGGUCAAUUUUGCAAAAAGUCCGUGUUAUUUUAUCGUAUGUCCCCGAAGGGACAAAACAAAUCAAAUUUUAUUUAUCAUACAACUAGAAAAUAUCCUUUUUAUUUCAUAUAUUUACUACAAAUUUUAUUUUGGAG